AUGAACGCUAGCUACAGGCUUAACACAUGCAAGUCGAGGGGAAACGACAUCGACAGCUUGCUUUUGAUGGGCGUCGACCGGCGCACGGGUGAGUAACGCGUAUCCAACCUGCCCAUCACUUGGGAAUAACCUUGCGAAAGUAAGACUAAUACCCAAUGAUCUCCCACGAAGGCCUCGGAAUGGGAUUAAAGAUUUAUCGGUGAUGGAUGGGGAUGCGUCUGAUUAGCUUGUUGGCGGGGUAACGGCCCACCAAGGCAACGAUCAGUAGGGGUUCUGAGAGGAAGGUCCCCCACAUUGGAACUGAGACACGGUCCAAACUCCUACGGGAGGCAGCAGUGAGGAAUAUUGGUCAAUGGGCGAGAGCCUGAACCAGCCAAGUAGCGUGCAGGAAGACGGCCCUAUGGGUUGUAAACUGCUUUUAUAAGGGAAUAAAGUGGGUCACGUGUGACUUUUUGCAUGUACCUUAUGAAUAAGGACCGGCUAAUUCCGUG
rnacentral:rRNA from 1 species